AGUUUGUAACUCAAAUAUUUCGCGGACGACUAUAAUGGUGACGACCGCGCCUGAAGAAGACCUGGGUAUAUUAUUUUUACCGAAGUUUUACGUUUCGUACUCUUCAGCCAUCUUUGUAUGUGUGUCAUUUAAUAACUGCCAAAAGCCCUCAUUAGUCGGCAAUCCGGCUUCUAGAUUACUCUGUUUUGACGCAAAUGCUUUUAUUAUUCUGAAGAUAUUUGCAAUAUAGUGAGAAGAACUUAGAUUAAGGCAAAAUACAUAUUUAGUACCACUAAUCAUGGGCGCGUGCAUCAUAAGUAAGUGUGGAUUAAGUUAAAAGCCCUCCUAAAAUCAUAAUAAAAUGAAAGUUUUAGAAUGAGCUUUUCAAGACACGAAAAAUGACCUUCGAUUUCAAUUAUGUGACUUAUUUCUCUUAAAAACAGUUCUAAAUUGCAAAGCUUUUAUAUUUUUUAAGAAGCGGUAUAUGUUUUCGGUUGUUUAAAAGCAUAGUAUCGUAAUAUAAUUUUAAAAGGCUGUUUUAAAAAACGUUUGGAUACUUUAUUUUGUUGAACUUCUUGUUUGGAUAAAAGGGAAAACAAGCGAGGUUAAGAGACAAACAUUAAAGAAGAAGUUUUUUUAGCAAGACGAAUCAAGCUUGCUUGAAAAAGGUUUUUCCAUUCAGGAAGUGUUAAUAAUUUAAAAAAGAAGUUGUUUUUCAUAGUGUAUAUAAUGAAUUGGCUCCAAUUGUAGAUAUUUUAAUAAACACUGACACUGAUUCCCAGUCUAAACAAUAAAAAUGAUUUUGUGAUAUUGCUACAAACACCUCAAUAUCAUUUACAAAAAUAAAAGAAUCUGAAGAAGUUGAAUCUCCUAAUAAAACUAUUGUUGUCUGGAUAUAUAAUUAUAAAUAUAUAAAAGUUGUCUAUGAUAUUUUUAAAGAACUUACUUGUAUGAUGUGUCACUAUGAAUAAAAUCAUUGUAUGACAUCUUGAGAGAUAUGGACUUUUUUAUUUUUUAAAUGUUCAAACUGUGUUCAAAUAGACAUUUUUUGUAA